AAAACAUUGCCUCCAGGUAAUAUAUUGAAGGUAACUCUGCCCAGUGACAUGUUUCAACGGCCGCGGUAUCUUGACCGUGCGAAGGUAGCACAAUAAUGAGCCUCCUAAUUAGAGGAUAGAAUGAAUGAACCAACGAAAUAAAUACUGUCUCACAACCACCUACUGAAUUUUAUAUGUGGGUGAAAAAGCCUACAUUUCAAUUAAAGACAAGAAGACCCUAUAAGCUUUUUUAAAAUUUAAUAGACUCGAUUAAAUGUUAUUUAGUUGGGGCGACUCAAAGAAUAAAACACUUUCCACUAAUAGAGAUAAUACCUCAUUUUACUUAUCCAACAACAUUCAAGCAAGUUACUGUAGGGAUAACAGGCUAAUACUUUCCAAGAGUACGUAUCAACGAAAGUGCUUGGCACCUCGAUGUUGGCUUAGGGCGUCUACCUCAUGCAGAAGUGAGAUAAGAAGGUUUGUUCAACCAUUAAUCCCCUACAUGAUCUG
rnacentral:rRNA from 1 species